rnacentral:rRNA from 1 species
GAUGAACGCUGGCGGCGUGCUUAACACAUGCAAGUCGAGCGAAGCACUUAAGUUUGAUUCUUCGGAUGAAGACUUUUGUGACUGAGCGGCGGACGGGUGAGUAACGCGUGGGUAACCUGCCUCAUACAGGGGGAUAACAGUUAGAAAUGACUGCUAAUACCGCAUAAGACCACGGUACCGCAUGGUACAGUGGUAAAAACUCCGGUGGUAUGAGAUGGACCCGCGUCUGAUUAGGUAGUUGGUGGGGUAACGGCCUACCAAGCCGACGAUCAGUAGCCGACCUGAGAGGGUGACCGGCCACAUUGGGACUGAGACAUGGCCCAGACUCCUACGGGAGGCAGCAGUGGGGAAUAUUGCACAAUGGAGGAAACUCUGAUGCAGCGACGCCGCGUGAAGGAUGAAGUAUUUCGGUAUGUAAACUUCUAUCAGCAGGGAAGAAAAUGACGGUAC